UUAAUAAGCAAUUUUUUAACUUAAAAUUGUCCAAAUCCUCUGAUUUCAGCCUGUCAGCCGUAAUUAUUCUGAUUUAUCUUGUCCUUCAUGAAAGCAGACAGAUUAUUAUUUGUGUAAUCAUCUUUUACUUUGGAAAACAACUACUGAAACACAAACUGAAUCCGUUACAAAAAGGUUGCUAAGCACAUCAACUCCUCUCGUGUGAUACCUGUAUUGCUGAACCGACUAAACAACACCAAAUGAACAUCAACAAUUGGUUCAUAAAAUAGUGUUUUGUAAAACACUUCAAAAUUAGUGCGGGUACACGCGUGCUGCCGAGAAAGCGCAACACCAGCAAGCACAGAUUUUUCUUCUGUGAUCAAUGUCGUGGCCAAAACGCUGAAAACAGUCCACAACGAGUCCACGCGAAGGACAACAAACACCAUGUGACAAAACAAAAGACAACAACACCAAAAAUAAGCUGAGAGCUCUUGCAAGUGGCUUCCAACUACGGCACCAUCUUGAAGUUAACAGCAGAGUUCAGAAGGACUCCUCAGUCAACGAUCUAAUGUUCCCAAUUCGAACAAUGAGAGUUUUAUGAGCUGAGAUAAUUAAUUAUUACACAUUUUCCCCCUAAUGGCAAAAAAAAAAACCCCACAGAAAAAAGCUUUUAUUUGAGGAAGUGUGUAUUUUUCUUAACGAGACGACGAACCUGGCAAAUAAUCUGCUCACUACUUAAGAAAGCAUGUUACAUUAUAUGGUCGUCAAUCUGAAGUUUUGUUGUUACAAUUUUCAAGACAGGCCGGAUAAAAGUGUCGGCUGGCCGCCACUCGUCUCGAUCCUUCACAGUAUUUGCUCAGGAUUUCGAUUUUAGUUCACAAUUAGGAGCCCUGCUCUAAAACAGGUUAGUCAGGUACGCUUGGCAACAGUUACUCAUUCCAAAGAAGGUGACAGGUGUACAUCAAAUAAAAUUUCAAACUGCCUCAGAGUCAUGCACUUUGAAUAAAAAACUACGUGGCAAGAUGCCCAACAACAACUGUGCCGAUCAAGACCUGCUUCGCUCCUGGCAUCGCUGAUUAAAUAAGAGAGAGAUCAACAAAAAAGGUAUAAAUAAUGACAUUACCUUUGUUUAAUUGGUGUUGCUUGUAAAGAGUGAACUACAUUUUGUCUCAAUGAACUAAAUAGUUUGCACAGUGGCUUGAAAAUAUGUCACUACGAGGCACAAGAAGGUAUGCUCAGUAGAGCCCCGACCGAAAUGAACAAAUGAUCAUCUCUUCCCAUUUGUUCAAAAUAUUCGUAUCGCUUUUGCAUAGCUUCGUCGUCCUUAAAAUAAAUAAACAAAUAAGUCGCACCUUGAAUGAAGAUGACACAGACUCAAGGAUCACUUUGACCCACAAAGUUAAUGGUUAGUCAAAACCGUUUGAGACGCUGUCGUAAAAGUAGUGUAGUAUUUAGCAGAUAACUCUCGCUGCAAAACGGAGGGCACGUGAAGUAGGGAAAUUCAGUCCAUAAAAAAUCCCAUCGGACAACCUGCUAGUUACUCGAAUGACCGAUUUGAUCAUCACAUUCUGUCUUUUCUAGGCUUAUGCAACACAUUCAGUUGUGGUUAAAUUUCCCGCGAAGUGGUCAGAUGAAUGCACUUGGACAAAGCCACAAAUAGGCGACAAAAUGUUUGUCCAAAGCAGUGGAUAAACAGCAUUCACACCGCCAAUAAUGUGAAGUCUAAUUUUGGUCUAGCCCCCCCCCCGCAGCAUACCGGACACGACUCAUCACAAAUGUUUCAGUGCGAAAGGCAACAUUCUAUUUCAAGUAUUAAAACAAUACACCGACUAUUCAAAGAGCAGACAGUCUCUUGCUGUCCAACAAUGAAAUAAAAGCACAAAAGAGUUACAACAUAAUAAACAAGAGACACUCUCCCACACAACUGGCUGUCAAAAAAAUAUAUAUAAAAAAUAUGAGUAUGAUACAAAUCAACAGAGUAUUUGCCGACAACAACCUCGCUGCGCAAGGUUGGGCCCCACCUGAGCCGCUAAUCUUUUCCUUGUGCUUUUGUAAAUUGGCGAGGGCCUCACGUAGAGUGGAGCAGGUUGUGCCGAGGCGUGGCUUUAGGAAUGUGCCAUCUGGCAACAUCUGCGAAGCGACGCCUCCUGCCUUUCAGCGAGCUAAAGGGCAAAACGCUCUACCUGCAAUUAAUUUAGUGGCAUUUUCCUCAUACUAAAAUCAAGGCCUAGAGUGAGCAAAACUUUCUUCCUCAUAAGCGACACCUCUUCAACAAUACAAUAUCGCAACAGCCGCCGUAGGCUCUAAGAGGAUUAAGCUGGAAAAGCAACAAACAACUUAACCUAAUUACAACCUGUACACAGUUCCGCAAUCAACUUGCAUUGUAAAUAGCCAACAUCUCGCUCGUCAACCACAACACAUGCACACGUGUAUUAAUAUAAUAAUAAAAUUAGCAAACCAAUGCAUCUUUAUGUACAUCGUGCUGUCACAAUGCACUUUACAGAUUUUUUUUUUUAAAUAACAGUGAUACAACAGAACAAAACAUCGACAAUAAAUCACAAAUAUUCCGACGUAAAUUUUCCGAUUUUCCUGUCACUCAUGAAGUAAAUUUAUCAGUCCACUGAGACCAAUCUUUAUUAUUUCAGUUUGCUCCAUUAAGGGUUUUUUUCCCCCCCAUGGUAAAAUGAAUGGCUUGGCUCUAAGAUUUGGGAGAAUCGUUCUAGUCAAUGAUUUGGAUGACGCCUUUUCUGUUCGUACGGCAUUGGUCUAAUCUAAACACAGGCACAAAAAGAACACCAUGUUCAGUGGCCCACAAGACUAAACAACCAAUGAAAAGCGCUAAUGUGACCUUGCAUAACCCUGGAAGGUGGAUUAGACCAUGGCUGUGUGUGUGUGUGUGUGUGUGUGUGUGUGUGUAUACGCACACGCAAACACACACUACCCCAGACCACCCUUUGAGCCACAAUGUAUGUUUAUAUAUGUAAGGGACGCUAUGACUUAUCAUAAAGGCUCUGCAUGUUUGCACAAGGGCGCGCUCGCCUUUUGAACUUGCGUACGUGCGUGUGAACUGCUUGACCGCCGAGCCCGAACCGGGCGACCCUUAAAGUCACCUGGCUGGAUGUAAACCCCGCUGCCAAAAAGGAAAAUAGUGCACUCGCCGGGAGGUGGAAUGCGACAAAAGCGAGAAUCUGUUCAUUUUCCCCAUUAGCUAUGACCACGAAAGAAAGAAUCAGCAAGCGAAACGAAAUUCACUACUUUUAGAAGUCAUGUCAACAGAGAACCCAAGCGAUGUUUGAAAACUUUUACUUUGUUUUGAUAAUACAGUUUAGUAUUUAGUUUUUUUGUGCUUAUCACUGGUUAGUCCUUUCUGUCAAACUUCUCUCCGGGAUUUUUGGAGACACAUUUUGGGAUCAUGCAUGAUAACUACUGGAAUUUUGGUCACUGCUGUUGAUCAUUUCUAAAGGGUACAAAGAAAAUAAAAUUGCUAGUUUGAUAUUUUUUGCCAUUGAAAAUAAGAUGCUUGUUCACUAAUAUAAUGGCACAUAUCAAUAACUUCUUUGAGCAACAUUGUAGAAAUACAGUUAAGUGUGAUUUUGGUCAACAUAAUCGCGUUGUUACAUUUUCUCACUGUUUAAUCUACAGCCAUUGUCAAAUUUCCAUGUACAUUCUUGUUUACACCGACAAAACCACCCUUUCACUUGAAAAACAAACAAAAAAAAAAACCCUGUAAAUUAUUCCUUAAAGUAUAUUUGAGCACCUGUGUGUAACAUGAUGCAGUUUGAAUGUUAACAUUGUGCUAAAAUACAGACAUGAAAGGUUUGAAAUAGAGUACUGUAGAUUGCUGCGUAAAAGAAACAUGCUUUGCUCUCAUCUCAUCAUUUACCAUAUGCGGAAAUGUAGUUGAACGUGAUGGUUCUGAGUCGUUUAACAAUGAUGUCAGGGGGCGUGACUGGACGUUGAGCAGGAAUUUGGCUGGAAUAACACAUUGCUGCUUUUGCAUGCUUGAAUUGGCCUUUUCUCGCAGGAAAAAAAAGUGAACAAACUUGCAGUUCAAAAUCGAGUGGCAAAAAAAAAAAAUCUGCCAUAAAAUACUACACUACUAUAUCAGCUUAACUUUACUGACUAACCAUUAACUCAAGUUGAAAGGAUCACGCCGGGGUGAGUCAUCGACACUUGAGAGACGACCUAUUACACGGAUAUAAACAUAUCCCACAGUUGGAACGUAAAAUGGCUGCUGGCUGAUCAUCAAAAAUUAUUUCCCUGACAGUCGGGAGGUGUGGUGCACAUUCUUCCUGUUUCGAAACCUGCAAGAGAGUUGUACAACUUCACCUUUCAUGACAUCAAACAUUCCAUGCAAGUAUAAACGGGCUACCAACGAUCACAAUUACAAAGCUUGCAUUUUUAAAAUGCCCUUCAAUCAACAAACCAUUCCCAAUUUAAAACAGGUUAUGAUUACUUGUAGUUGCCUUGUCAAAAAGCUUUGAACUAGGUGGACAGAACACACCCCUCCAAGCCCACACCCCUGCAUUUCAACACAACGAAUCAUUCUCAUUCAGACAGAACCUUAAUUUCC